GGUAAGCAAAGAUGGAUAGUAGCUAGCAGUGAAAUCCAGUUUGACGCGCGUUUCGUCCUAUUUGGGACU
rnacentral:tRNA from 1 species